rnacentral:rRNA from 1 species
AAGUGUGGGGCGGUACCCUGUGGAACGGUCGUCGUCCUGGACUUCUGCCAAAAAAUGUGCUUGAUAGAGAGGUGCAAGGGCAUGGCUCAUGUGGGUCCACACCCACCAUCCGGUGGCCAGGCCCUGUGACCAGCCCAUCCCCCUUACACUCUGACAUAACCACUUGGGAAAUGCCAGGAUGCUCAUCCUUUGCUCUGCUCGGAGGGGAGAGCCACCCAUGUACGGGUGCACUCCCCGAGGGGGUAUGCUCUAGAGUCAACACCAGCAGAGACUGUUACAGCCCCUGGCUACAGUUUCACCAUGUCCACGAGGCUGAGGGAGAUUAACCACUGGCGUGCCCUCCUCCGGAAAACGCCCCAGCCCCCCUCAGGGGUCACCAGGGAAGAGACAGAGGACAGGGUCCCCUGCUUCCGGUUCAACUGUCGACUGCGGUGGACUGUCCUCAGUGUGCCCCGACCAGGUUGCACCGGUGGGUGGAGAGCCCAUUAUGGGCGCCUUGGGUCUGCAGUAAUGUUGGUUAACCACCUGACUCAUCUUGAAUCAGAUGAAGGGUUCUAUCAUGUGUGUGAGUCAGAGAGGCAAACAAAACACUGUGACACAAUCAAGGUAAGGGCUGGUGCACACCGGAUGAGGUGAGAUCCCUUUGCACCAUGCACACCACAGGCACCUCUCACCGGCUCUGUUGGGCAGGUGGAGCUCGAGCAUGUGUGAUAGGACAUGUAGGCAGGGGAAAGCCAGAGGAACUCUGGUGGAGGUUCAUAGAGGUCCUGACAUGCAAAUCGGUCAUCCGACCUGGGUAUAGGAGCGGAAGAUUAAUCUUGUAGCUGGAUCCCUCAGAAGUUUACCCAGGAUAGAUGGUGCUCGGAUACCCCAGUUUUAUAUGGUAACGCAGCUGAUUAGAGGUCCUUGGGGCCAAAAUGAUGUCAACCUAUUAUCAAACUUUAUAUGGGUGAGGAGCCUGGCUUGCUGGCAUGAAGUCCAGCAUUGAAUGCCAGUUCCCAGUUUGCCACUUUUGGUAAGCCAAACUGGCACUGUGGAAUGAACAAAACACCAGGUUAAGGCGCACAAUAUCAAUGCUCAUCAGACCCCAGAAAAGAUGUUAGUUGUUAUAGACAGCAGAACCGUGGCCAUGGAAGUCAGAAUCUGUGUAACAACUCGUCUGCCAAAUCAACUAGCCCUUGCAAUGGAUGGCGCUGGAGCAUUGGACCUAUACCCAGCCAGCGCUGAGAGCCACAAGGGCUAAGCUGCAAUGAGUAGGAGGGCUGCUGCGGUUUGCACGGUAGACCGGGGCAAGUGGUGAAGCCGCUGAAGGUGUAGCUCUUAGUGGUAGUAGCAAAUAGUCAAUCAAGAACUUUGAAGGCCAUAGUGGAGGAGGGUACCAUGUGACUAGCUAUUAACCAUGGGUCUGUCAUUCAUAAGAGAUGGGCAAUCCCCAUUCAGAAGGGACAUGCAAUGGCCUCUGUUGCCUCAGCCAAUAGAAAGGGAGUCAGGUUCAGAUCCCUGAACCCAGAAAAGUGUAGACGGGCACCAUUGCGGCUUCCAUUACUGUAAUGCAAAAGUUCCCAGAGAAUCCGGUAUGAGCCCUGGGGAAAGUUUUACUUUCUCUGUGAAGGGACAAGGCACCCUGGAAUGGGUUCACCCCAAGAGAAGUGCCCAAGCCUUGGAAAGAAUUGCGUUUCCAGGAGCUUGCAGUGAGCACUCACUGCUCCUUGUUAAUCCAGGGUAGAUGUUGCCAGGGUUUACACGUAUAGACAGCCGGUCUCCCAGGUGAACAGCCUCUGGGCCUCUGGCAUGUUGGAACAAUGUAGGUGAAGGAAGUUGGCAAGUCAGAUCCAUAUCUUCAAGAUGAGAAUUGGCUCUAAGGGCUGUGCGAGUCAGGCUGGUGCACGUAUCAGGGCUUGCCACGUACCAUGGCUGGAUGAGGCAUCUCCCCCCCAGAGCCCCACUAAACUCUGGAUGUGAGCCAGGCCCAUCCUUUGGAUUUCCCCAGCUGGGCUGGUGGCCUCUCUCCGGUCUCCUCCUAGGGUUCGGGCAGGCGUUCUGCCUCAGCCGAUGUCUAGCAGCUGACCUAGAACUGGUGUGGACCAGGUAAUCUGAAAGUUUAAUUGAAACAGGGCAUCACAAAGGCCCGCGGCGGGUGUUGACACAAUGUGAUUUCUGCCCAGAGCUCUGAAUGUCAAAGUGAAGAACUUCAAUAAAACGCGGGUAAAUCGCAGGAGUGACUAUUACUCUUUUAAGGUGGCAAAAUGCCAUGUCUUCUCAUUAAUAGCAUGCAGUAAUGGAUUAACAGGAUUCCCAUUGUCCCUAUCUACUAUCUAGUAAACCAGAGGCGAUGGAUUUGCUUGGCAGAAUCUAGUCUGGCACACUGUAAGGAGAGAUGAGAGGUGUGGGAUAGUUAGGAGGCCUAUACUGCUUCUGCCUGGCCAAGCGUACACUUCCCAUGUACCCCUGCUGUCUGGAUGUUGAACUACAGGCGGGUUGCAGUACCAGCGCUGUGCUGAUGGGCCAGCUGUCCCACUGAUGCCUGUUCCUGUGGAGGUGCCUCGGCAAGCACAGCGACCACCUCUUCUGUAUUUACCGGGACUCCCACCUGAGGCAGGGAUGUGCUGACCACCAGGCUGGGCGAUGUGGGUGGGAUUGGAGUAGAGGUGGCCGUGAUGGAAUCUGGCAAGGAAGGCCCCCCGGAGGGUGACUGGGGCAUGG